CCUACGGGCGGCAGCAGUGAGGAAUAUUGGUCAAUGGACGAGAGUCUGAACCAGCCAAGUAGCGUGAAGGAUGACUGCCCUAUGGGUUGUAAACUUCUUUUAUAAAGGAAUAAAACGAGGCACGUGUGCCUGUUUGAAUGUACUUUAUGAAUAAGGAUCGGCUAACUCCGUGCCAGCAGCCGCGGUAAUACGGAGGAUCCGAGCGUUAUCCGGAUUUAUUGGGUUUAAAGGGAGCGUAGAUGGGUUGUUAAGUCAGUGGUGAAAGGUUGGGGCUCAACCGUAAAAUUGCAAUUGAUACUGGCAGUCUUGAGUACAGUUGAGGUAGGCGGAAUGCGUGGUGUAGCGGUGAAAUGCUUAGAUAUCACGAAGAACCCCGAUUGCGAAGGCAGCUUACUAAACUGUGACUGACAUUGAUGCUCGAAAGUGUGGGUAUCAAACAGGAUUAGAUACCCCUGUAGUC
rnacentral:rRNA from 1 species